rnacentral:ncRNA from 2 species
CCAAUAGCGUAUAUUAAAGUUGUUGCAGUUAAAAAGCUCGUAGUUGAAUUUCGGGGUCUGUCCGUCGGUCGGGCUUCACAGUCCGUACUGGUGUGAUGGGUUCCUACCUUCUGAAUAACCGGCAUGCCAUUCAGUUGGUGCGCCGGGGAAGCAGAGCUAUUACCUUGAAAAAAUUAGAGUGCUUAAAGCAGGCUAGUGCUUGAAUAGAUUAGCAUGGAAUAAUAAAAUAGGACGGCAUGGUUCUAUUUUGUUGGUUUCUAGGAUCACCGUAAUGAUUAAUAGGGAUAGUUGGGGGCAUUAGUAUUCAAUUGUCAGAGGUGAAAUUCUUGGAUUUAUUGAAGACUAACUUCUGCGAAAGCAUUUGCCAAGGAUGUUUUCAUUAAUCAAGAACGAAAGUUAGGGGAUCGAAGACGAUCAGAUACCGUCGUAGUCUUAACCAUAAACUAUGCCGACUAGGGAUCGGACGAUGUUAAUUUUUUAAUGACUCGUUCGGCGCCUUACG